UGAACAGGAUCUGUGUGAUCUGAGCGUGAUUACUGGCCUGGUGAUACCCUUGUUGGUUUUACUUCGACCGCAGAGGAUCGUUCUCAGCUUGCCUUGUGCGGCUGGGAAGGUCACGCAGUUGUCUGA
rfam:Gossypium hirsutum cultivar TM-1 chromosome 20, whole genome shotgun sequence